GGUCGGUUACGUCAGCUGGUUAGAGCAUUGUACUAAUAGUAUAUGAAAAUAUAACGUCGGUGAUGCAAAGGCCAUGGGUUCGAACCCCAUACUGACCA
rnacentral:tRNA from 1 species